rnacentral:rRNA from 1 species
GAUGAACGCUAGCGGGAGGCCUAACACAUGCAAGCCGAGCGGUAGAGAUCUUUCGGGAUCUUGAGAGCGGCGUACGGGUGCGGAACACGUGUGCAACCUGCCUUUAUCUGGGGGAUAGCCUUUCGAAAGGAAGAUUAAUACCCCAUAAUAUGUUGGAUGGCAUCAUUCGACAUUGAAAACUCCGGUGGAUAGAGAUGGGCACGCGCAAGAUUAGAUAGUUGGUGAGGUAACGGCUCACCAAGUCUGCGAUCUUUAGGGGGCCUGAGAGGGUGAUCCCCCACACUGGUACUGAGACACGGACCAGACUCCUACGGGAGGCAGCAGUGAGGAAUAUUGGACAAUGGGUGAGAGCCUGAUCCAGCCAUCCCGCGUGAAGGACGACGGCCCUAUGGGUUGUAAACUUCUUUUGUAUAGGGAUAAACCUACUCUCGUGAGAGUAGCUGAAGGUACUAUACGAAUAAGCACCGGCUAACUCCGUGCCAGCAGCCGCGGUAAUACGGAGGGUGCAAGCGUUAUCCGGAUUUAUUGGGUUUAAAGGGUCCGUAGGCGGAUCUGUAAGUCAGUGGUGAAAUCUCACAGCUUAACUGUGAAACUGCCAUUGAUACUGCAGGUCUUGAGUGUUGUUGAAGUAGCUGGAAUAAGUAGUGUAGCGGUGAAAUGCAUAGAUAUUACUUAGAACACCAAUUGCGAAGGCAGGUUACUAAGCAACAACUGACGCUGAUGGACGAAAGCGUGGGGAGCGAACAGGAUUAGAUACCCUGGUAGUCCACGCCGUAAACGAUGCUAACUCGUUUUUGGGCUUUCGGGUUCAGAGACUAAGCGAAAGUGAUAAGUUAGCCACCUGGGGAGUACGAACGCAAGUUUGAAACUCAAAGGAAUUGACGGGGGCCCGCACAAGCGGUGGAUUAUGUGGUUUAAUUCGAUGAUACGCGAGGAACCUUACCAAGGCUUAAAUGGGAAAUGACAGGUUUAGAAAUAGACUUUUCUUCGGACAUUUUUCAAGGUGCUGCAUGGUUGUCGUCAGCUCGUGCCGUGAGGUGUUAGGUUAAGUCCUGCAACGAGCGCAACCCCUGUCACUAGUUGCCAUCAUUAAGUUGGGGACUCUAGUGAGACUGCCUACGCAAGUAGAGAGGAAGGUGGGGAUGACGUCAAAUCAUCACGGCCCUUACGCCUUGGGCCACACACGUAAUACAAUGGCCGGUACAGAGGGCAGCUACACAGCGAUGUGAUGCAAAUCUCGAAAGCCGGUCUCAGUUCGGAUUGGAGUCUGCAACUCGACUCUAUGAAGCUGGAAUCGCUAGUAAUCGCGCAUCAGCCAUGGCGCGGUGAAUACGUUCCCGGGCCU